rnacentral:tRNA from 1 species
CAAGUUUUAGUUUUUGGUAAACUUUAUUAUUUACAUUAAUAAAAUUUCUGUUCAAAUCAGAUAAACUUGA